CAAAAAUAUUGUCAGUCUGUAAAUUAAAAUUACAGAACUAUAGAGCAACUAUGGGUCCAGACUUUGGACCUAAACGUGGCUGGGGCAACUGUUUUCC